UUCAACAAAAAUACUACCGUAUAAUUAAGCUAUAUAGUUUAUGCAUUGUUUCCGAGAAAUUAGCAAAUCGUACUUUUUUUAAAUGUUUAAUUGAAUGCGACGGCAAUGCAGCAAGAGCAGACUACUGCUGAUAAGCAGACAGGCAAAUGUCACCGAAUGUCACAAUCUCACAAAUAUAAAAAACUUGUCAGAAUAAACUUACAGGAUAUUUGUAGAAAAACUCGACUUUCUCAUCAUAUUGCCUGUUUGGUACCUAUAGACAAGUGUAUGAAAAAUUGAAAUGACGAAGAAUUUCCAGUUGGUUGAUUUGGCGUGGGAACUCGGAGUGACUGCUGCUUCUAGCUGUGAGGAACAAGUAGGUCAAACAUAUGUCAGAAUCAAAAUGAAGCUAAAUACUGGAUCAUCAUUAGAAACAACGGUGAUGGAAUUAUCUCUUAAACAGUUUUAUGAUCUUCUUCAUGAGCUAGAAAAAGCUCAAAACAACAUGAAAUAAAGGAAAAUUGUAAUGACAAAGAAGUGUAAAUGUGAUGUAAAUAAAGUGAAAAAGAAAUACAACAUUGAUUUUUCUGCAAAAUGUACCCAA